AUGUCAUCCAGAGGGACCUGCAUGGUGGAGACACUCAUCAGUCCUAGCCCUGGUGUGGCAGAUGGAAUGAAAAGGACUCGUCAUUCCCCGGCAAAUCUGAAGAAAGAAGCGAGAGCAAGAGUGUCUUUCCAUUGUCUCUUCUCAAGACCUAGGAAAAGCAGCCUUUGAGGAUUCCUUUGG